ensembl:snRNA U4 U4 spliceosomal RNA
AGCUUUGCGCAGUGGCAGUAUCAUAGCCAAUGAGGUUUAUCCAAGGCGCGAUUAUUGCUAAUUGAAAACUUUUCCCAAAUCAGAAUUCAACUUGGAGUUCUUUAGUUGGUCCUACUUAAAAUGUA